GGCGGCAGCUACACAUGCAGUCGAGCGGUAGCACAGAGAGCUUGCUCUCGGGUGACGAGCGGCGGACGGGUGAGUAAUGUCUGGGAAACUGCCUGAUGGAGGGGGAUAACUACUGGAAACGGUAGCUAAUACCGCAUAACGUCGCAAGACCAAAGUGGGGGACCUUCGGGCCUCAUGCCAUCAGAUGUGCCCAGAUGGGAUUAGCUAGUAGGUGGGGUAAUGGCUCACCUAGGCGACGAUCCCUAGCUGGUCUGAGAGGAUGACCAGCCACACUGGAACUGAGACACGGUCCAGACUCCUACGGGAGGCAGCAGUGGGGAAUAUUGCACAAUGGGCGCAAGCCUGAUGCAGCCAUGCCGCGUGUAUGAAGAAGGCCUUCGGGUUGUAAAGUACUUUCAGCGAGGAGGAAGGCGUUAAGGUUAAUAACCUUAGCGAUUGACGUUACUCGCAGAAGAAGCACCGGCUAACUCCGUGCCAGCAGCCGCGGUAAUACGGAGGGUGCAAGCGUUAAUCGGAAUUACUGGGCGUAAAGCGCACGCAGGCGGUCUGUCAAGUCGGAUGUGAAAUCCCCGGGCUCAACCUGGGAACUGCAUUCGAAACUGGCAGGCUAGAGUCUUGUAGAGGGGGGUAGAAUUCCAGGUGUAGCGGUGAAAUGCGUAGAGAUCUGGAGGAAUACCGGUGGCGAAGGCGGCCCCCCUGGACAAAGACUGACGCUCAGGUGCGAAAGCGUGGGGAGCAAACAGGAUUAGAUACCCUGGUAGUCCACGCCGUAAACGAUGUCGACUUGGAGGUUGUGCCCUUGAGGCGUGGCUUCCGGAGCUAACGCGUUAAGUCGACCGCCUGGGGAGUACGGCCGCAAGGUUAAAACUCAAAUGAAUUGACGGGGGCCCGCACAAGCGGUGGAGCAUGUGGGUUUAAUUCGAUGCAACGCGAAGAACCUUUACCUACUCUUGACAUCCAGAGAACUUAGCAGAGAUGCUUUGGUGCCUUCGGGAACUCUGAGACAGGUGCUGCAUGGCUGUCGUCAGCUCGUGUUGUGAAAUGUUGGGUUAAGUCCCGCAACGAGCGCAACCCUUAUCCUUUGUUGCCAGCGGUCCGGCCGGGAACUCAAAGGAGACUGCCAGUGAUAAACUGGAGGAAGGUGGGGAUGACGUCAAGUCAUCAUGGCCCUUACGAGUAGGGCUACACACGUGCUACAAUGGCAUAUACAAAGAGAAGCGACCUCGCGAGAGCAAGCGGACCUCAUAAAGUAUGUCGUAGUCCGGAUUGGAGUCUGCAACUCGACUCCAUGAAGUCGGAAUCGCUAGUAAUCGUAGAUCAGAAUGCUACGGUGAAUACGUUCCCGGGCCUUGUACACACCGCCCGUCACACCAUGGGAGUGGGUUGCAAAAGAAGUAGGUAGCUUAACCUUCGGGAGGGCGCUACCACUUGGAU
rnacentral:rRNA from 1 species